rnacentral:rRNA from 1 species
AGUGAACGCUGGCGGUAGGCCUAACACAUGCAAGUCGAACGGCAGCACAGUAAGAGCUUGCUCUUACGGGUGGCGAGUGGCGGACGGGUGAGGAAUACAUCGGAAUCUACUUUUUCGUGGGUGAUAACGUAGGGAAACUUACGCUAAUACCGCAUACGACCUACGGGUGAAAGCAGGGGAUCUUCGGACCUUGCGCGAUUGAAUGAGCCGAUGUCGGAUUAGCUAGUUGGCGGGGUAAAGGCCCACCAAGGCGACGAUCCGUAGCUGGUCUGAGGGGAUGAUCGGCCACACUGGAACUGAGACACGGUCCAGACUCCUACGGGAGGCAGCAGUGGGGAAUAUUGGACAAUGGGCGCAAGCCUGAUCCAGCCAUACCGCGUGGGUGAAGAAGGCCUUCGGGUUGUAAAGCCCUUUUGUUGGGAAAGAAAAGCAGCAGGUUAAUACCCCGCUGUUCUGACGGUACCCAAAGAAUAAGCACCGGCUAACUUCGUG